rnacentral:rRNA from 1 species
UACAGAGGGGGCCAGCGUUAUUCGGAAUUAUUGGGCGUAAAGGGCGCGUAGGCGGCUCCGCGUGUCUUUCGUGAAAUCCCUCGGCUCAACUGAGGACGUGCGGAAGAAACUGCAGGGCUGGAGUCCGGGAGAGGAGGGUGGAAUUCCCAGUGUAGCGGUGAAAUGCGUAGAUAUUGGGAGGAACACCGGUGGCGAAGGCGGCCCUCUGGACCGGUACUGACGCUGAUGCGCGAAAGCGUGGGGAGCAAACGGG